CAUGAGUAGCGACAAAGAGUGUGAGAGACACUCUCGCCGAAAGUCCAAGGGUUCCUGCUUAAAGCUAAUCUGAGCAGGGUAAGCCGACCCCUAAGUCGAGGCCGAAAGGCGUAGACGAUGGGAACCAGGUUAAUAUUCCUGGGCCAGGAAGAUGUGACGGAUCGUGAAGGUUGUUCACCCUUAUUGGAUUGGGUGGGCCGCUAAUCGGUUCCUGGAAAUAGCCUUCCAUAAGAUCGUACCCUAAACCGACACAGGUGGACUGGUAGAGAAUACCAAGGCGCUUGAGAGAACUAUGUUGAAGGAACUCGGCAAAAUACCUCCGUAAGUUCGCGAGAAGGAGGCCCAGUUUCUACGCAAGUAUUGACUGGGGGCACAAACCAGGGGGUGGCGACUGUUUACUAAAAACACAGGGCUCUGCGAAGUCGCAAGACGACGUAUAGGGUCUGACGCCUGCCCGGUGCCUGAAGGUUAAAAGGAGAUGUGAGAGCGUCGAAUUGAAGCCCAGGUAAACGGCGGCCGUAACUAUAACGGUCCUAAGGUAGCGAAAUUCCUUGUCGGGUAAGUUCCGACCUGCACGAAUGGCGUAACGACUUCCCCACUGUCUCCAACAUAGACUCAGCGAAAUUGAAUUGCCUGUCAAGAUGCAGGCUUCCCGCGGUUAGACGGAAAGACCCCGUGCACCUUUACUACAACUUCGCACUGGCAUCAGGCACAGCAUGUGCAGGAUAGGUGGUGGGCUUUGAAGCAGUAACGCCAGUUAUUGUGGAGCCUCCCUUGAGAUACCACCCUUGUUCUGCUUGAUGUCUAACUGCGGUCCAUUAUCUGGAUCCAGGACCCUGCGUGGUGGGUAGUUUGACUGGGGCGGUCGCCUCCUAAAGAGUAACGGAGGCGCGCGAAGGUUGGCUCAGAGCGGUCGGACAUCGCUCGUUGAGUGCAAUGGCAGAAGCCAGCCUGACUGCGAGACUGACAAGUCGAGCAGAGUCGAAAGACGGCCAUAGUGAUCCGGUGGUCCCGCGUGGAAGGGCCAUCGCUCAACGGAUAAAAGGUACGCCGGGGAUAACAGGCUGAUACUGCCCAAGAGUCCAUAUCGACGGCAGUGUUUGGCACCUCGAUGUCGGCUCAUCUCAUCCUGGGGCUGGAGCAGGUCCCAAGGGUACGGCUGUUCGCCGUUUAAAGAGGUACGUGAGCUGGGUUUAGAACGUCGUGAGACAGUUCGGUCCCUAUCUGCCGUGGGUGUAGGAUACUUGAGAGGAGUUGCCCCUAGUACGAGAGGACCGGGGUGAACGAUCCACUGGUGGACCUGUUGUUGCGCCAGCAGCAGUGCAGGGUAGCUAUGAUCGGACAGGAUAACCGCUGAAGGCAUCUAAGCGGGAAGCCCCCCUCAAAACAAGGUAUCCCUGAGAGCCGUGGAAGACCACCACGUCGAUAGGCCGGAGAUGUAAGCAUGGUAACAUGUUCAGUUGACCGGUACUAAUGGCUCGAUAGGCUUGGUUUG
rnacentral:rRNA from 1 species